rnacentral:rRNA from 1 species
GAUGAACGCUAGCUACAGGCUUAACACAUGCAAGUCGAGGGGCAGCAUGGUCUUAACUUGCUAAGGCCGAUGGCGACCGGCGCACGGGUGAGUAACGCGUAUCCAACCUGCCUUACACUCUUGGACAGCCUUCUGAAAGGGAGAUUAAUACAAGAUGUUAUCAUGAGUAAGCAUUUUCGCAUGAUUAAAGGUUUACCGGUGUAAGAUGGGGAUGCGUUCCAUUAGAUAGUAGGCGGGGUAACGGCCCACCUAGUCUUCGAUGGAUAGGGGUUCUGAGAGGAAGGUCCCCCACAUUGGAACUGAGACACGGUCCAAACUCCUACGGGAGGCAGCAGUGAGGAAUAUUGGUCAAUGGACGAGAGUCUGAACCAGCCAAGUAGCGUGAAGGAUGAAGGUUCUAUGGAUUGUAAACUUCUUUUAUACGGGAAUAAACGGAUCCACGUGUGGAUUUUUGCAUGUACCGUAUGAAUAAGGAUCGGCUAACUCCGUGCCAGCAGCCGCGGUAAUACGGAGGAUCCGAGCGUUAUCCGGAUUUAUUGGGUUUAAAGGGAGCGUAGAUGGGUUGUUAAGUCAGUUGUGAAAGUUUGCGGCUCAACCGUAAAAUUGCAAUUGAUACUGGCAGUCUUGAGUACAGUUGAGGUAGGCGGAAUUCGUGGUGUAGCGGUGAAAUGCUUAGAUAUCACGAAGAACUCCGAUUGCGAAGGCAGCUUACUAACCUGUAACUGACAUUGAUGCUCGAAAGUGUGGGUAUCAAACCAGG